rnacentral:rRNA from 1 species
UACGGAGGGUGCAAACGUUGCUCGGAAUCAUUGGGCGUAAAGCGCACGUAGGCGGACCGCUAAGUCGGAUGUGAAAGCCCUCGGCUUAAACCCGAGGAAGUGCAUUCGAAACUGACAGUCUUGAGUAUGGAAGAGGGUCGCGGAAUUCCCGGUGUAGAGGUGGAAAUGCGUAGAUAUCUGGAGGAACGACCGGUGGCGAAGGCGGCCCCCUGGGCCGAACCUGACGCUGAGGCGCGAAGACUAGGGGAGCGAACGGGAUUAGAAACCCCUG